rnacentral:rRNA from 1 species
AGCUUGGAAGCAGCUAUUCAUUCAAAGAGUGCGUAACAGCUCACUAGUCGAGCGGCAAAGCGUGGAUAAUAAACGGGCAUCAAGUAUACCACCGAAGUUCUGGGCACGAAAGUGCGGUAGGGGAGCAUUCCAUUCCGCGUUGAAGCCGAACCGUGAGGUUUGGUGGAGUGUAUGGAAAAGCAAAUGUAGGCAUGAGUAACGAUAAUGCGGGAGAGUAACCCGCACACCGCAAGACCAAGGUUUCCUGAUCAACGCUAAUCGGAUCAGGGUUAGUCGGGUCCUAAGGGUAAGCCGAACGGCGAUCUCGAUGGAUAAUCGGUUAAUAUUCCGAUACUAACAUAUACCUCGAUGGAGAGACGAAGGAACGUAAGUGCCGCCACCUGACGGAAUAGGUGGUUAAAGGGCGUAGGUAUAGGGGCAGAUUAAGAGUUAGUCCUUGCUGAAACCUGACAGUACAGAGAGCCUACGGGCAAUUUGAUAGAGCACCCAAGUCGACUUCCGAGAAAAUCUUCUAAGUUAUAGUAUAUGUUACCCGUACCGUAAACCGACACAGGUGGUCGAGGAGAGUAUCCUAAGGUGCUCGAGUGAAUCACGGUUAAGGAACUAGGCAAAUUAACCCCGUAACUUCGGGAAAAGGGGUCCCUAUGAAAGUAGGGCGCAGCGAAGAGGUCCAGGCGACUGUUUAUCAAAAACACAGGGCUCUGCAAAUUCGAAAGAAGACGUAUAGGGCCUGACACCUGCCCGGUGCUGGAAGGUUAAGAGGGGAUGUCAUCGCAAGAGAAGCAUUGAAUCGAAGCCCCAGUAAACGGCGGCCGUAACUAUAACGGUCCUAAGGUAGCGAAAUUCCUUGUCGGGUAAGUUCCGACCUGCACGAAUGGUGUAACGAUCUGGACACUGUCUCAACCGUGAGCUCGGUGAAAUUGUAGUCCCGGUGAUGAUGCCGGGUACCCGCAACGGGACGAAAAGACCCCGUGAACCUUUACUAUAGCUUAACGCUGAAUUUGGGUACACAAUGUGUAGGAUAGGCAGGAGACUACGAAGCGGGCACGCCAGUGUUCGUGGAGUCGACGUUGAAAUACUGCCCUUUGUGUACUUGAGUUCUAACCCUCGAGAGGGGACACCGUUUGGUGGGUAGUUUGACUGGGGUGGUCGCCUCCAAAAGAGUAACGGAGGCUUCCCAAGGUACCCUCAGCACGAAUGGUAACCGUGCGUAGAGUGCAAUAGCAUAAGGGUGCUUGACUGUGAGACCAACAAGUCGAUCAGGUGCGAAAGCAGGGUAUAGUGAUCCGGUGGUUCUGCGUGGACUGGCCAUCGCUCAAAGGAUAAAAGGUACUCCGGGGAUAACAGGCUGAUCGCCGCCAAGAGCUCAUAUCGACGCGGCGGUUUGGCACCUCGAUGUCGGCUCGUCACAUCCUGGGGCUGGAGAAGGUCCCA